UACGGGGGGUGCAAGCGUUAGUCGGAAUCACGGGGCGUAAAGGGUGCGUAGGCGGUGCAUUAGGUCUGUCGUGAGAUCCCCGGGCUCAACCUGGGAAUGGCGGUGGAAACCGGUGUACUAGAGUAUGGGAGAGGGUGGUGGAAUUCCAGGUGUAGCGGUGAAAUGCGUAGAGAUCUGGAGGAACAUCAGUGGCGAAGGCGGCCACCUGGCCCAAUACUGACGCUGAGGCACGAAAGCGUGGGGAGCAAACAGG
rnacentral:rRNA from 1 species